CGGAGUUAGGGGGAAAGGUGGGAAGUGUGGGCCGGGCGAGUCGGGAGCGAGCUCUCUUCUGAUUGGCUGUCGGUCCCAACGAUGCCAGUCGCCCCUGCUGAUUGGCCAGACCCACCGCCCGCGAUCCACUUUCCUCUUGGACUCGGAAAUGCUCAGUCCGGCGGCGACCGGGGUCUGGUUCCUCAUUGGACACGCCUUCUCUUGUCCCGCCUCCGUGGUCAAGGCCGCCUCUGAUUGGCGAGCGGUCGGGCGCUACGCGGAGUCAGGUCAGGUCGCGUGGGCUCGGUUCGGCGGUCGCGGCGCGGGUCGGCACCAGGGACCCUCUGCCUCCGGGAGGAGUCCCUCUGAGCGUCCCGGGCUCCCUUCCCUGGCGGAAGUGCUGUGCCGGUUCCAAUUCCGACGCUGCCGGUUGGCGGGUUACGCUGGUCAUCAGGAGGAAAACAAGGACAGUGGGAAAAUGUGGCCUCUCCCAUCUUAGCCUAGAUGAAUCUUACCACCACGAAACGUGGGCCCUGACAUUGUUGUGUCUCCAGCAUCAUCUGUGAGUAUUGUUCCCCAAAAUCUUUAACUUCAACAUCAUAAAGCAGGAACUACAGGAUUGAAGGGGGAAAAAAAAAA